rnacentral:misc_RNA from 1 species
UCUCCGUUGGUGAACCAGCGGAGGGAUCAUUACCGAGUUUACAACUCCCAAACCCAAUGUAAACCAUACCACACUGUUGCCUCGGCGGGGUCACGCCCCGGGUGGGGCGCAGCCCCGGAACCAGGCUCCCUCCGGAGGGACCAAUCAAAAUAUUUCUGUAGUCCCCCCGCGGAAAAUAUCUUUUCAGCUCUGAGCAAAAAUUCAACAUGAAUCAAACCUUUAAACAACGGAACUUUUGGAUCUGGCAUCAGUGAAGAAACCACCAGAUCCGAAGCAGAA